GGGCCCGCACAAGCGGCGGAGCAUGCGGAUUAAUUCGAUGCAACGCGAAGAACCUUACCAAGGCUUGACAUACACCGGAAAGAUGCAGAGAUGUGUCCCCCGCAAGGUCGGUGUACAGGUGGUGCAUGGUUGUCGUCAGCUCGUGUCGUGAGAUGUUGGGUUAAGUCCCGCAACGAGCGCAACCCUCGUCCUAUGUUGCCAGCACGUAAUGGUGGGGACUCAUAGGAGACUGCCGGGGUCAACUCGGAGGAAGGUGGGGAUGACGUCAAAUCAUCAUGCCCCUUAUGUCUUGGGCUUCACGCAUGCUACAAUGGCCGGUACAAAGGGCUGCGAUACCGCAAGGUGGAGCGAAUCCCAAAAAGCCGGUCUCAGUUCGGAUUGGGGUCUGCAACUCGACCCCAUGAAGUCGGAGUCGCUAGUAAUCGCAGAUCAGCAACGCUGCGGUGAAUACGUUCUCGGGCCUU
rnacentral:rRNA from 1 species